rnacentral:rRNA from 1 species
UUGAACGCUGGCGGCAGGCCUAACACAUGCAAGUCGAGCGGUAGCACAGAGAGCUUGCUCUCGGGUGACGAGCGGCGGACGGGUGAGUAAUGUCUGGGAAACUGCCUGAUGGAGGGGGAUAACUACUGGAAACGGUAGCUAAUACCGCAUAAUGUCGCAAGACCAAAGUGGGGGACCUUCGGGCCUCAUGCCAUCAGAUGUGCCCAGAUGGGAUUAGCUAGUAGGUGGGGUAACGGCUCACCUAGGCGACGAUCCCUAGCUGGUCUGAGAGGAUGACCAGCCACACUGGAACUGAGACACGGUCCAGACUCCUACGGGAGGCAGCAGUGGGGAAUAUUGCACAAUGGGCGCAAGCCUGAUGCAGCCAUGCCGCGUGUGUGAAGAAGGCCUUCGGGUUGUAAAGCACUUUCAGCGGGGAGGAAGGCGUUAAGGUUAAUAACCUUGGCGAUUGACGUUACCCGCAGAAGAAGCACCGGCUAACUCCGUGCCAGCAGCCGCGGUAAUACGGAGGGUGCAAGCGUUAAUCGGAAUUACUGGGCGUAAAGCGCACGCAGGCGGUCUGUCAAGUCGGAUGUGAAAUCCCCGGGCUCAACCUGGGAACUGCAUUCGAAACUGGCAGGCUAGAGUCUUGUAGAGGGGGGUAGAAUUCCAGGUGUAGCGGUGAAAUGCGUAGAGAUCUGGAGGAAUACCGGUGGCGAAGGCGGCCCCCUGGACAAAGACUGACGCUCAGGUGCGAAAGCGUGGGGAGUAAACAGGAUUAGAUACCCUGGUAGUCCACGCCGUAAACGAUGUCGAUUUGGAGGUUGUGCCCUUGAGGCGUGGCUUCCGGAGCUAACGCGUUAAAUCGACCGCCUGGGGAGUACGGCCGCAAGGUUAAAACUCAAAUGAAUUGACGGGGGCCCGCACAAGCGGUGGAGCAUGUGGUUUAAUUCGAUGCAACGCGAAGAACCUUACCUGGUCUUGACAUCCACAGAACUUUCCAGAGAUGGAUUGGUGCCUUCGGGAACUGUGAGACAGGUGCUGCAUGGCUGUCGUCAGCUCGUGUUGUGAAAUGUUGGGUUAAGUCCCGCAACGAGCGCAACCCUUAUCCUUUGUUGCCAGCGGUCCGGCCGGGAACUCAAAGGAGACUGCCAGUGAUAAACUGGAGGAAGGUGGGGAUGACGUCAAGUCAUCAUGGCCCUUACGACCAGGGCUACACACGUGCUACAAUGGCAUAUACAAAGAGAAGCGACCUCGCGAGAGCAAGCGGACCUCAUAAAGUAUGUCGUAGUCCGGAUUGGAGUCUGCAACUCGACUCCAUGAAGUCGGAAUCGCUAGUAAUCGUAGAUCAGAAUGCUACGGUGAAUACGUUCCCGGGCCUUGUACACACCGCCCGUCACACCAUGGGAGUGGGUUGCAAAAGAAGUAGGUAGCUUAACCUUCGGGAGGGCGCUUACCACUUUGUGAUUCAUGACUGGGGUG